rnacentral:rRNA from 1 species
CUACGGGUCGCUGCAGUGAGGAAUAUUGCACAAUGGGGGGAACCCUGAUGCAGCAACGCCGCGUGGAGGAUGACGCAUUUCGGUGUGUAAACUCCUUUUAUAUGUCAAGAAAAUGACGGUAGCAUGUGAAUAAGCACCGGCUAACUCCGUGCCAGCAGCCGCGGUAAUACGGAGGGUGCAAGCGUUACUCGGAAUCACUGGGCGUAAAGGACGCGUAGGCGGGUUGGAAAGUCAGGUGUGAAAUCCUACAGCUUAACUGUAGAACUGCACUUGAAACUUCUAAUCUAGAGUAUGGGAGGGGGAGAUGGAAUUAGUGGUGUAGGGGUAAAAUCCGUAGAUAUCACUAGGAAUACCUAAAGCGAAGGCGAUCUCCUGGAACAUCACUGACGCUAAGGCGUGAAAGCGUGGGGAGCAAACAGGAUUAGAUACCCUUGUAGUC